GCUACUCGAGAGUGGAGGAACGCUGGGGCCCUGGAGGGGGAGUCGCCCACGGGACCAUAAGGGUGGGAGAAAAGGGUAUUCGCCGCUCUUUAGCUUGUCAUCUCCUUAAAGAAUAACUUCGGGAAGAAGGUAGCAUAACCGUGACUCGCCCUGAAAUUUUCAACUAAUUUCAACCUCAACAAAACUUAACCUCGUCUUAAAAAGGCUGGAAGUAGGGGGGGGGGGUGUAAAUGCCAAGCCUUGGGGGUGAGAGAGAAGGGGCUGCGUCCUCGGGGCCAGGACUCCAGAACCUUUUCCCACUCCCUGGAUCGUCUCUGAAGUAAGUAGCAGAGGAGGCUGCUCCAUUCCUCUUUCGGCUUAAGGCCUGGUCUUAUCAGGGGCCAAACGCACCACCUCCCCCAGCCCUCCGCACAACAAAGUGCGGGGAGGGGGCUAGGGGAGGGGCACACUUUCCUUCCCCAUUGAGUUGCAAUCCAGGACCUAGGGAGCCUCCAACCCACGGCCGCCGCGGCCUCGGCGGGGCAUUCACCACGCCGGCCGCGUGUCCGGAAUUCCCGGGACGCCUCGGAAUUACCUGCCCCGCAACUUCUGGUCCACUCGCCUUCUGCCAGGAAUUAAAGAAACAAAUGGCGUGAUCCCCACGGUGUGCGGGCAGAAGGGACCUCAGCGGGGGCAGAGCCCCUCACACUCACUCCAUUCGAAACUCUCCUUAGAAAGUGAAGGCGAAUCCUGGAGGAGCCAAGGAACGAGACCCCACCCCCCCAGGGCCUGCACAGGGGUCUGAGCCAGGCAAAGGGCCACACAGGUAGCCGAGGAGCCGCCGCCGGCAGCGCAGCCCGCCCCUCCCGCAACCCCCUCCCUGCCCUAGUCCAGCGGGAGGCUCAGCUGCGAAGGCAGCGUCGCGGACGUCCCACCCCCGCAGGGAGCUGCGCCCGCUGCCCGGGCCUGGCCCCGCACCGCCCGCCCAACCUCUCCCCCCUAGCUCCCCGGACGGUCGGCUCCGGCAGAGAGAAACGGGAGCAACAGUGCCUUUUCCCCCCCUCUCCUCCACUUUUUUUUGUUGUUGUUGUUGCUUUCCCACGCUGGCUGAAUGUGACUUGACCCCAUUUCAAAAAAGUUUGACAUAGUGCUUCAACAUUUCCGCAUUCCUCCGCGACUACAAAGGCUGCAGCCGCCUCCCUCUGCUUUCUGUCUCUGCUCUCUGUCUUCACACUCAAUGAAAUCCUUCAUGUGCCUCUCCCGAAGCCUGCCAAGCACCGCAAGGGUCGCCACCAGAGCAGCGACAAGAGGCCGCACUGGGACCACGACUCCCGCGUGUGCGCACACGCAGAUGCGCCCCACGUGCACACUGUCGGGCGCAAUGCAGGGCCCGGAGCUGCUUACCGCAGGGUGUGCGUUUUAACUCGGAUAUUUUAAAUUAUAAAAGUAAAUUAUACUUUAUAAACUAAAGCAAACGUGCGUCUUUGUGGGGCUCCAAGCCUGUGCACUAGCCGCCUGCGUGCACUCCAGUAAGUGUGGAUAACACCCCCGCGGGGGCUGCCAGCAAGAAGCCUGCGUUAACAUUUAUCUCGUGGUGAGGAAGGUGGAGGCCACACCCACACCUCCGCGAGCUGGGGAGAGAGCUUUCGUGGGGAAAUGAAUAUGGGGCACGGAAACACAUUGUCCCGCAUGGAGUCCCCAGAGGCAGUGCAUUUUAAACUCUAAAGUGUGGAUUAUUCUGUGAAUGUCUGAGUGGAGUUGAUAUUCCGCUUUAAGAAGCUGGAUGAGUGUGUGGGUGUUUGUGCGUAAGGCUAUGUGGGAGUAAGCACAGGAUCUUAGUGUUCGGGGUGUCCCUAGGGUAGGCUGUCCUCCUCUCGCCAGAUUAGGAGGGACUCCUCUAGCUCCCCAAAAUUGCUCUCCGUAAUUAGCCUGCCUCGGUUCGUAAGGGGUUAACUAAAGCCGAUUUCGAAUACACCCCCCCCCCACCACCACCAUCACAGUCACCCCCACCCACACCCUGGCUUCCGACCCUGGCCAAGCUCCCAAAUCUCCCCCGGGGACCCCCCACCCAGCAGCCCACCCACACCAACGCACGGCUCCUCACCUGCGGGGCCCUGCCGCGUCAGGCCUCCGGAGGGGGCUGCGAGUGUCUGUCCGACCUCCGCACGUGUCCACAGCGGCGCCAAGCAGGUAAUACUUGAAUCUCCGCUGCACACAUGGCCUAACAAUUGUGUUGGCAUAACUGCCUUUGGUUGAGCUGAAAGUUUACUUAUUUUGAGAGAGAGAAAGCACAAGCAGCAGAGGGGCACAGAGG